GUGCAGUGCGGCGGCUACCAUGCAGUCGAACGUGAUCCGCCCUUCGGGGUGGUGAAAGUGGCGCACGGGUGAGUAACGCGUGGAUAAUCUGCCCGAGGAUUUGGGAUAACAUCUCGAAAGGGGUGCUAAUACCGAAUAAGCCCACGGGGUCUACGGAUCUUGCGGGAAAAGGGGGGGACCUUCGGGCCUCCUGUCCUUGGAUGAGUCUGCGUACCAUUAGCUAGUUGGUGGGGUAAUGGCCUACCAAGGCGACGAUGGUUAGCUGGUCUGAGAGGAUGAUCAGCCACACUGGAACUGAGACACGGUCCAGACUCCUACGGGAGGCAGCAGUGGGGAAUUUUGCGCAAUGGGGGAAACCCUGACGCAGCAACGCCGCGUGGGUGAUGAAGGCCUUCGGGUCGUAAAGCUCUGUCUGGAGGGAAGAAAUGAUUGGGAGCUAAUACCUCUUGAUCUUGACGGUACCUCUGAAGGAAGCACCGGCUAACUCCGUGCCAGCAGCCGCGGUAAUACGGAGGGUGCAAGCGUUGUUCGGAAUUAUUGGGCGUAAAGCGCGUGUAGGCGGUCUUUUAAGUCUGAUGUGAAAGCCCCGGGCUCAACCUGGGAAGUGCAUUGGAAACUGGGAGGCUUGAGUACGGGAGAGGAGAGUGGAAUUCCUAGUGUAGGAGUGAAAUCCGUAGAUAUUAGGAGGAACACCGGUGGCGAAGGCGGCUCUCUGGACCGAUACUGACGCUGAGACGCGAAAGCGUGGGUAGCAAACAGGAUUAGAUACCCUGGUAGUCCACGCCGUAAACGAUGAGUACUAGGUGUUGCGGGUAUUGAC
rnacentral:rRNA from 1 species